GACGAACGCUGGCGGCGUGCCUAAUACAUGCAAGUAGAACGCACAGUUUAUACCGUAGCUUGCUACACCAUAAACUGUGAGUUGCGAACGGGUGAGUAACGCGUAGGUAACCUGCCUGGUAGCGGGGGAUAACUAUUGGAAACGAUAGCUAAUACCGCAUAAUAUUGAUUAUUGCAUGAUAAUUGAUUGAAAGAUGCUAUUGCAUCACUACCAGAUGGACCUGCGUUGUAUUAGCUAGUAUGUGAGGUAACGGCUCACCUAGGCGAGGAAACAUAGCCGACGUGGGGGGGGGGUGGGCCACACUGGGACUGGGACCCGGCCCGGACUCCUUCGGGAGGCAGAAGUAGGGAAUCUUCGGCAAUGGACGAAAGUCUGCCCGAGCAACGCCGGGUGAGGGAAGAAGGUUUUGGGAUCGUAAAGCUCUGUUGUAAGAGAAGAACGGGUUUGGGGGUGGAAAGUUCACCUUGGGGCGGUAUUUUACCAAAAAGGGACGGCUAACUACGU
rnacentral:rRNA from 1 species